rnacentral:rRNA from 1 species
GACGAACGCUGGCGGCGUGCUUAACACAUGCAAGUCGAACGGAAAGGCCCUGCUUUUGUGGGGUGCUCGAGUGGCGAACGGGUGAGUAACACGUGAGUAACCUGCCCUUGACUUUGGGAUAACUUCAGGAAACUGGGGCUAAUACCGGAUAGGAGCUCCUGCUGCAUGGUGGGGGUUGGAAAGUUUCGGCGGUUGGGGAUGGACUCGCGGCUUAUCAGCUUGUUGGUGGGGUAGUGGCUUACCAAGGCUUUGACGGGUAGCCGGCCUGAGAGGGUGACCGGCCACAUUGGGACUGAGAUACGGCCCAGACUCCUACGGGAGGCAGCAGUGGGGAAUAUUGCACAAUGGGCGGAAGCCUGAUGCAGCAACGCCGCGUGCGGGAUGACGGCCUUCGGGUUGUAAACCGCUUUCGCCUGUGACGAAGCGUGAGUGACGGUAAUGGGUAAAGAAGCACCGGCUAACUACGUGCCAGCAGCCGCGGUGAUACGUAGGGUGCGAGCGUUGUCCGGAUUUAUUGGGCGUAAAGGGCUCGUAGGUGGUUGAUCGCGUCGGAAGUGUAAUCUUGGGGCUUAACCCUGAGCGUGCUUUCGAUACGGGUUGACUUGAGGAAGGUAGGGGAGAUUGGAAUUCCUGGUGGAGCGGUGGAAUGCGCAGAUAUCAGGAGGAACACCAGUGGCGAAGGCGGUUCUCUGGGCCUUUCCUGACGCUGAGGAGCGAAAGCGUGGGGAGCGAACAGGCUUAGAUACCCUGGUAGUCCACGCUGUAAACGGUGGGUACUAGGUGUGGGGUCCAUUCCACGGGUUCCGUGCCGUAGCUAACGCUUUAAGUACCCCGCCUGGGGAGUACGGCCGCAAGGCUAAAACUCAAAGGAAUUGACGGGGCCCCGCACAAGCGGCGGAGCAUGCGGAUUAAUUCGAUGCAACGCGUAGAACCUUACCUGGGUUUGACAUGGAUCGGGAGUGCUCAGAGAUGGGUGUGCCUCUUUUGGGGUCGGUUCACAGGUGGUGCAUGGCUGUCGUCAGCUCGUGUCGUGAGAUGUUGGGUUAAGUCCCGCAACGAGCGCAACCCUUGUUCACUGUUGCCAGCACGUUAUGGUGGGGACUCAGUGGAGACCGCCGGGGUCAACUCGGAGGAAGGUGGGGAUGACGUCAAGUCAUCAUGCCCCUUAUGUCCAGGGCUUCACGCAUGCUACAAUGGCUGGUACAGAGAGUGGCGAGCCUGUGAGGGUGAGCGAAUCUCGGAAAGCCGGUCUCAGUUCGGAUUGGGGUCUGCAACUCGACCUCAUGAAGUCGGAGUCGCUAGUAAUCGCAGAUCAGCAACGCUGCGGUGAAUACGUUCCCGGG